rnacentral:rRNA from 1 species
GAGUUUGAUCGUGGCUCAGAUUGAACGCUGGCGGCAGGCCUAACACAUGCAAGUCGAGCGGUAGAGAGAAGCUUGCUUCUCUUGAGAGCGGCGGACGGGUGAGUAAUGCCUAGGAAUCUGCCUGGUAGUGGGGGAUAACGCUCGGAAACGGACGCUAAUACCGCAUACGUCCUACGGGAGAAAGCAGGGGACCUUCGGGCCUUGCGCUAUCAGAUGAGCCUAGGUCGGAUUAGCUAGUUGGUGAGGUAAUGGCUCACCAAGGCGACGAUCCGUAACUGGUCUGAGAGGAUGAUCAGUCACACUGGAACUGAGACACGGUCCAGACUCUACGGGAGGCAGCAGUGGGGAAUAUUGGACAAUGGGCGAAAGCCUGAUCCAGCCAUGCCGCGUGUGUGAAGAAGGUCUUCGGAUUGUAAAGCACUUUAAGUUGGGAGGAAGGGCAGUAAAUUAAUAACUUUGCUGUUUUGACGUUACCGACAGAAUAAGCACCGGCUAACUCUGUGCCAGCCGCCG